UUCUAAGGGCCUUUCCAGCUAUCUGU
rnacentral:piRNA from 1 species